rnacentral:rRNA from 1 species
UGAGGAAUACAUCGGGAUUUGCCCAGACGUGGGGGAUAACGUAGGGAAACUUACGCUAAUACCGCAUACGUCCUACGGGAGAAAGCGGGGGAUCAGCAAUGACCUCGCGCGGUUGGAUGAACCGAUGUCUGAUUAGCUUGUUGGUGAGGUAAUGGCUCACCAAGGCGACGAUCAGUAGCUGGUCUGAGAGGAUGAUCAGCCACACUGGGACUGAGACACGGCCCAGACUCCUACGGGAGGCAGCAGUGGGAAUAUUGGACAAUGGGCGCAAGCCUGAUCCAGCAAUGCCGCGUGUGUGAAGAAGGCCUUCGGGUUGUAAAGCACUUUUAUCAGGAGCGAAAUACCAUCGGUUAAUACCUGGUGGGGCUGACGGUACCUGAGGAAUAAGCACCGGCUAACUUCGUGCCCGCAGCCGCGGUAAUACGAAGGGUGCAAGCGUUAAUCGGAAUUACUGGGCGUAAAGCGUGCGUAGGCGGUUGUUUAAGUCUGCUGUGAAAUCCCCGGGCUCAACCUGGGAAUGGCAGUGGAUACUGGGCAGCUAGAGUGUGAUAGAGGAUGGUGGA